UCUUCCCUCUUUCUUCGUGCCUAAUACAUGCAAGUCGAGCGAACAGACGAAGAGCUUGCUCCUCUGACGUUAGCGGCGGACGGGUGAGUAACACGUGGAUAACCUACCUAUAAGACUGGGAUAACUUCGGGAAACCGGAGCUAAUACCGGAUAAUAUAUUGAACCGCAUGGUUCAAUAGUGAAAGACGGUUUUGCUGUCACUUAUAGAUGGAUCCGCGCCGCAUUAGCUAGUUGGUAAGGUAACGGCUUACCAAGGCAACGAUGCGUAGCCGACCUGAGAGGGUGAUCGGCCACACUGGAACUGAGACACGGUCCAGACUCCUACGGGAGGCAGCAGUAGGGAAUCUUCCGCAAUGGGCGAAAGCCUGACGGAGCAACGCCGCGCGAGUGAUGAAGGUCUUCGGAUCGUAAAACCCUGUUAUUAGGGAAGAACAAAUGUGUAAGUAACUAUGCACGUCUUGACGGUACCUAAUCAGAAAGCCACGGCUAACUACGUG
rnacentral:rRNA from 1 species